GCAUUGGUGGUGUAGUGGUAGUCAUCCAGACUUCCCAUCUUGUUGGAAACUGUCUGGGACCCGGGUUCGAUUCCCGGCCAAUGCA